UCGAAUUUGUCGUUUCGUCGAUUGUUCUUAGUCGAUUAUGGUUGUUACGUGUGUGGUGCGCCCUAACAAACAUCGGCCAUGAUCGGCUUUCAUCGUUUUCCGCUUUCCACCGACACGUAAGUCGUGCCUGUGGAUUUAUCCAAGAACUACAAUAAUGAUCGUUAUAUUACACUAAAAAUACAGAUGCAAGGAGUGGACUGUGUUUUGUCGACUUGGACCGAACAAUUCGUAAUUAAUAGUCACAGUUUG